GUUGUAUAGGUUAAGUUAAUAAGGGCGCGUGGUGAAUGCCUUGGCACUAGGAGCCGAUGAAGGACGUGACUAACUACGAUAAGCUUUGGUGAGCGGUAAGUACGCUAUGACCCAAAGAUUUCCGAAUGGGGAAACCCAACUCGUAAGAGUUGUCUGUAUCUGAAUACAUAGGAUAUUUGACGGAAUACGCUGUG
rnacentral:rRNA from 1 species